rnacentral:rRNA from 1 species
CCUACGGGAGGCAGCAGUGGGGAAUUUUGGACAAUGGGCGAAAGCCUGAUCCAGCAAUGCCGCGUGAGUGAAGAAGGCCUUCGGGUUGUAAAGCUCUUUUGUCAGGGAAGAAACGGUGAGGGCUAAUAUCCCUUGCUAAUGGCGGUACCUGAAGAAUAAGCACCGGCUAACUACGUGCCAGCAGCCGCGGUAAUACGUAGGGUGCAAGCGUUAAUCGGAAUUACUGGGCGUAAAGCGUGCGCAGGCGGUUUUGUAAGUCUGUCGUGAAAUCCCCGGGCUCAACCUGGGAAUUGCGAUGGAGACUGCAAGGCUAGAAUCUGGCAGAGGGGGGUAGAAUUCCACGUGUAGCAGUGAAAUGCGUAGAGAUGUGGAGGAACACCGAUGGCGAAGGCAGCCCCCUGGGUCAAGAUUGACGCUCAUGCACGAAAGCGUGGGGAGCAAACAGGAUUAGAUACCCUGGUAGUCCACGCCCUAAACGAUGUCUACUAGUUGUCGGGUUUUAAUUAACUUGGUAACGCAGCUAACGCGUGAAGUAGACCGCCUGGGGAGUACGGUCGCAAGAUUAAAACNCAAAAGGAAUUGACGG